rnacentral:rRNA from 1 species
UACAGAGGGUGCGAGCGUUAAUCGGAAUUACUGGGCGUAAAGCGCGCGUAGGCGGCUUUGCAAGUCGGGUGUGAAAUCCCCAGGCUUAACCUGGGAACUGCAUUCGAGACUGCAUUGCUAGAGUAUGGGAGAGGGAAGUGGAAUUUCCGGUGUAGCGGUGAAAUGCGUAGAUAUCGGAAGGAACAUCAGUGGCGAAAGCGACUUCCUGGACCAAUACUGACGCUCUUGUGCGAAAGCGUGGGGAGCAAACAGG